rnacentral:rRNA from 1 species
UACGGGGGGGGCAAGCGUUGUUCGGAAUUACUGGGCGUAAAGGGCGCGUAGGCGGUUUGCUAAGUUGGAUGUGAAAACUUUGGGCUUAACCCAGAGCCUGCAUCCAAAACUAGCAGACUAGAGUUCUGGAGGGGGUAGCGGAAUUCCUGGUGUAGCGGUGAAAUGCGUAGAUAUCAGGAGGAACACCGGUGGCGAAGGCGGCUACCUGGACAGAAACUGACGCUGAGGCGCGAAAGCUAGGGGAGCAAACAGG